UACGUAGGGUGCGAGCGUUAAUCGGAAUUACUGGGCGUAAAGCGUGCGCAGGCGGUUUUGUAAGCCAGAUGUGAAAUCCCCGGGCUCAACCUGGGAAUGGCAUUUGGGACUGCAAGGCUUGAGUGCGGCAGAGGAGACUGGAAUUCCUGGUGUAGCAGUGAAAUGCGUAGAUAUUGGGAGGAACACCAGUGGCGAAGGCGGCGUUCUGGACUGCAACUGACACUGAGAGACGAAAGCCAGGGGAGCAAACGGG
rnacentral:rRNA from 1 species